UGCAGUCGAGCGCAGUCCUUCGGGACCGAGCGGCGGACGGGUUAGUAACGCGUGGGAACAUAUCCAACUCUAAGGAAUAGCCUCUGGAAACGGAGAGUAAUACCCUAUACGCCCUUCGGGGGAAAGAUUUAUCGGAGAUGGAUUGGCCCGCGUUAGAUUAGAUAGUUGGUGGGGUAACGGCCUACCAAGUCUACGAUCUAUAGCUGGUUUGAGAGGAUGAUCAGCAACACUGGGACUGAGACACGGCCCAGACUCAUACGGGAGGCAGCAGUGGGGAAUCUUAGACAAUGGGCGAAAGCCUGAUCUAGCGAUGCCGCGUGUGUGACGAAGGCCUUAGGGUCGUAAAGCACUUUCGCCAAGGAUGAUAAUGACAGUACUUGGUAAAGAAACCCCGGCUAACUCCGUGCCAGCAGCCGCGGUAAUACGGGAGGGGGGUUAGCGUUGUUCGGAAUUACUGGG
rnacentral:rRNA from 1 species